rnacentral:lncRNA from 1 species
UUUUUUUUUUUUUUUUUUUUUUGAGAUAGGGUCUCACUUUGUCACUCAGGCUGGAGUGCAGUAGUAUGAUCUUGGCUCAUUGUAACCUCCACCUUCCAGGCUCAAGCAAUCCUCUCAACUCAAGUCUCCCAAGUAGCUGGGACCACAGGCAUGUGCCAUCACAUCUGGCUAAUUUUUGUAUUUUUGGUAGAGGUGGGUUUCGCCAUGUUGCCCAGGUUUGUCUCAAACACCUGAGCUCAAGUGAUCCUCCCACCUCAGCCUCCCAAAGUGCUAGGAUUACAGAUGUGAGCCACCGUGCCCAGUUGAAAUUCUUUAUUAAGAGUAGAGUAAUACUACUUAUCAUGGCUCAUUUCACCUGUGUACAUGAUGGACUGGAUCUCCAAUUUCAUUUUAAUUCUAGGUGGGAAUGAUGGUUAGAUGCUGCCGAACAUACGAAGAAGUGUGCGAAGGUGAUGUGAUGUUGGCAAAGUCAUCAAGCUGGACAGAGAUGGAUUGCAUGAUCUCAAUGUGCAGUGUGACUGGCAGCAGAAAGGGGGCAUCUACUGGUUUAGGUACAUUCAUGUGGAACUUAUAGGCUAUCCUCCACCAAGAAGUUCUUCUCACAUCAAGAUUGGUGAUAAAGUGCGGGUCAAAGCCUCUGUCACCACACCAAAAUACAAAUGGGGAUCUGUGACUCAUCAGAGUGUGGGGGUUGUGAAAGGUGUGAUGGAUGUCAGAUGUUUCCUAUCAAUGGAUCCAGAUUCAAAUGCAGAAACUGUGAUGACUUUGAUUUUUGUGAAACGUGUUUCAAGACCAAAAAACACAAUACCAGGCAUACAUUUGGCAGAAUAAAUGAACCAGGCUUCAGCAGAAGAAACACUUCCUAUAAAUCUCGCCCAAACAGGAAAGGAGAAGCAUUAGGGUGUCCGACUACGUGGGUUUCAUAGCUGUGGAAAAGCCAAAGGGGAGACUCCUGAAGAAAGGCGGUGAAGACUGUGAAGAGCGGGUCAGGAAGAUGAGCACAGCACUGCUACUCCUGUGGGCACAGGGACAGCAUGUCUCCAGCCAGCGCCACCUUGUUUAAUACAUGGGAACUCACUGAAAUUCAUUCUGUAUUUUGCCCGCAAAGUUUUAAAGCUUUCAUCCACAGUCAGGAAUUAAACUUAUACCAAUGAGAGCCUCACACAUUCAAGGAUGUACUAAGCACUACAGGCCUCACAGAAACAGAGAUCCCAUCUUGGAGUUUUCAGUACCACAUGGGAGAUAAAGGGUUUUGAACAUGAAAUGACAAAAACAACAGCAAGAAGAAAAUUCUUGUCCUUUUUCAUUACUAUCAGACUCAAAUAAAUGUCUUGGCUCUUACAUUACAUUCAUUCUUCAACCAUUGUGGUCUGGCUUCCACUUCCUUCACUUCACCAACAUGGCUCUGCCAAAGGAAGCCCGUGAUCUCUAGGCCAUCACUUUAAUUGAUCUUUCUACAACAUUUAUCCUGGUUGUUAAGCCCUCCUUACAACAUUCUUCUCUCUUUGUUUUUAUAGCUCCAUCUCUCCUGCUUCUUUAACUUGAUAAUGCAUACUUGAUUUUUCUAUUUGUUAUUUCAUAAACCAAUUAAUACACAGAUAAAAUGACUGUAUAUCAAACCAUGUUUGUAUAGAAAAAAUGGAUUUUGGAUGCCUCUCAUAUGUAAUUAGUUCUAUUAAACAUAUUAAUUGUAUUGUUUAAUUUGUCAGGUUUUUGACAGAAUUUUGUUUACAAGUAAUAAAAAUUUUAUCUCCAAUUUUCAAUAA